rnacentral:rRNA from 1 species
GACGGAGGAUGCAAGUGUUAUCCGGAAUCACUGGGCGUAAAGCGUCUGUAGGUGGUCAAAUAAGUCAACUGUUAAAUCUUGAGGCUCAACCUCAAAAUCGCAGUCGAAACUAUUAGACUGGAGUAUAGUAGGGGUAAAGGGAAUUUCCAGUGGAGCGGUGAAAUGCGUAGAGAUCGGAAAGAACACCAACGGCGAAAGCACUCUGCUGGGCCGACACUGACACUGAGAGACGAAAGCUAGGGGAGCGAAUGGG